UACGUAGGGCGCAAGCGUUGUCCGGAAUUAUUGGGCGUAAAGAGCUCGUAGGCGGCCUGUUGCGUCCGCUGUGAAAUCCCGGGGCUUAACCCCGGGCGUGCAGUGGAUACGGGCAGGCUGGAGGCAGGCAGGGGAGAACGGAAUUCCCGGUGUAGCGGUGAAAUGCGCAGAUAUCAGGAGGAACACCAAUGGCGAAGGCAGCUCGCUGGGACGGUACUGACACUGAGACGCGAAAGCGUGGGGAGCAAACAGG
rnacentral:rRNA from 1 species